UUGAAUGAAAGAAGAAUGAAUCUUUCAUGUGUGUGUGCUCACUAUGGAUCAGGAAGUAUUCUAAGAGUUUUACAUAUAGUAAUGUUACUUAAUUCUCACAACAACCUUAAGAGUGGUGCUAUUAUUAUCUCCAUUUUCCAAGGAACAAAAGCACAGAGAGGUUAAGUAACUUGCUCAAGGUUGCACAGCAACUAAGGAUGGAGGCAAGAGUCCAACCCAGGCAGUGUGGCUCCAGAGUCAGUGCUCCGGUGUGCUCUCCCCUUAGCACUAGAGGCAGUAGAGCCCAGACACUUGCCUCUAGCCACCAGAUCAUGCUUCCAAACUUUAGAACUGUUGCUUCUUCAUUCAUCAGCAGCAGCCCAGAUCUCAGAGGGACCUUUGGCGCCCCCCUCAAUCUCACCUGCAGGCCACUGGUGUCUAACCUUAGUUGUCUGUGCUCCUGACUUGUGCAGACUCUCAGCUUUCGCUUUUCCUCCACUCUUACUAGAGGUUUAAAAAUACUUUUUUCAUAUAUUAUAGUUGUACGCAUUUAUCCUUACUAGAUGGUGCUGUCCCCCUCAAUCUUCCCUUCAUCUAAUGUAUUGUCUAUGUUCGAUUUUAGGCUCCUCCAUUCCCCCAAAAAAGUGCAGACUACUUAAAAGCGAUCAUUUCGAUAUCUUUACAACUGUUUAUCCAGUGCCAGGCCCUGUGCAGCUAUUCCAUUCCUCAUGAGAACUCAAGGACGGGGUGUUCUUAGAUGUGUACAAUGAAGUCCCCCUGCCUGGGGUCAGUACUGGUGCGUGGUGGAGCCUGGACUCAGAGCCAGUGGGCCCAGCUUCAGGUCCAUGGUUUUCUCCCUACUUGCAUAGUUCACCCCACUUCCACGUUCACCUGCCAUGAAAAGCCCCCCAGAACAAUGAAGCAACCAAACCUUGGGGGAUGGGACUGUGGAUGGGGGGUGGUAGAAGAAGCAAAACAAAGGGGCCUCAGAGCUCUCCAGCAUGGCUCAGUUUCAGGGAAAUAUCUGUUGCUGUCACUUUAUCAGCCACAAGGGCAAAGACCUAGGACAGGCAGGAGAUCCGAUCUGAACUCUGAUAUUAAAAAGGAGGCAGUAAGAACAGUGAUCACUCUGAGCCUGUAUAUUAAAUGUAUUUUCCCUUUGUGAAAAAAAAACUGCAAAAGUUAUGUUUCAACAUAAAGGCAGCCUGUGUUUCAUAGCUAUUCUAAUUUAUGGGCCGUACAUUCCCGUGAUUGUCUUGAACUGAAUAGCCAAGUAAAUAAUCAUCGAGAGCCACAGGUAAAUCACUUGGAGGUGAACCGAGCCUGUCCAGAGCUUCCAGAAAUGGCACAAACAUUAUUUCCUAAUUUUGCAGAUUUCUUCAUCUGAGCUCAGAAAACACCUUCUCUCAUUGGCUUUGAGGUUUGACACUUUUUCCACUCACAUCCUGAAGAGACAGCGACAAGGUGAAACGUGAGAAGUGUACAAAGCAUUUUCAAGGAUUCCCCGUCUAAUUUUCCUUCUCAAUUCCAAGGAAAUAAUGCCAUGCGCUUCACUUCCUUAAGUAUUUAUUCUGUGCUACUAAAUGACUAGAAACGGGAGGUGACGGGAGGAGUCCAGGGAAGUGGGAGAUGGGGACCACACUCUUACAAAGCCUAGAACCGGCUUGAUUUCUUUUUUUAUUGUGGCAAAAUAUACAUAACACAAAAUUUGCCAUUUUAAGCAUGACCAUUCAAUGACAUUAAGUACAUUCACAUGUUGGACAACCAGAAAGAAAGUGAUCUUCUUCCUCAACUAGAACUCUAUGCCCAUUAAACAUUGACUCCCGUUCUCCCUGCCCCCAGCCCCUGGUGACCACCGUUCUAGUUUCUGUCCCAAUAAAUUUGACUACUUGAGGCACUUCAUAUAAAUGGGAUCAUACAAUAUUUAUCUUUUUGUGACUGGAUUAUUUCAUACAGUAUGUUUUCAAGGUUCUUCCAUAUUGUAGCAUGAAUGACACGGUUGAUUUUAAACAUACGGAUGUUGAACCAAUGGACACACCAAACCAGGUCAGUCAACUGAAAGGCAAAUGCAUAUCCACAUUCACUUGUGGCUGUUUUAAGGAAAUUUGACUCUAAGCAAUAAAUCCCAUGCAUUUAUUUAGCUCCUCCUCUGUGCAAGGGCCCACGGGCAGCUGAGGCAGAAGGUAGACACUGCUUUUCAAGGAUCUGAAAUCCCAGUCCAGGAGAUAUAGUGUGCAGAUUCAAAUCCAGAUGUUAAGUGCUAAGUAACAGAGUACAAAUGAAAAGGCAAACAAGUUUAAUAGAGGUCAUUUUGGCCAGGCACUGCGGCUCACGCCUGUAAUCCCAGCACUUUGGGAGGCUGUGGCAGCAGGAUCAUGCAGUCAGGAGAACAAGACUAUCCUGGCUAACAUGGUGAAACCCCAUCUCUACUAAAAAUACUAAAAAUUAGCCAGGUGUGGUGGCGUGCACCUGUACUCCCAGCUACUCGGGAGGCUGAGGCAGGAGAAUCGCUUGAACCCGGGAGGUGGAGGUGGCAGUGAGCCGAGAUGGCGCCACUGCAUUCCAGCCUGAGCGACAGAGCGAGACUCUGUCUCAAAAAGAAAAAACAGAGAGGUCAUUUCAGGCAGAGGUGAUUGAGGAAGAGAUGGAAGUUCGUGGUAAUUUGAAGGAUGGGUGGAGUUUAGUACAAAGGAGUGGCCUAGAGAUAGAAAACAUUCCAGACUGGCAUGGGGUGAAAGUACAUCUGACAGCAAACUCUCUUUUUCAGGGUUUCAUCCCCAGUGCCUGGUACCACAGCAAAUAUGUGCCUCGUGAAUCAGUGAAUGCAUAGCUCAGAGGUAAGAAAACCCAAAGUGAAAUCUGAAAACAAUGGGUAGACGGUCUGGCUUGAGAAGAGGGUCCCUAAAGAAUGUUGGUAGAGAUCAGGAUGUGGAAAAACUUUGACUGUCAAACGAAGAAGCUUGAAAUGUAUCCUGAGGAAAAUGGGGAGGCACUGAAGGUGGUUGACCAGGACAGUGAUUCUUCCACCCUUUCUAAUCAUAAGUGCAUCAAAGCACAGACAUUCCCCGAGAAGCUUAAAGUGAUGAGGGCUGGGUAAUGGGAUACAGCCUUCUUCAUCAGGUUUAUGCGGAUGGGGCAGCAUCUUGUUUAGAAGUAUCGUUUUUUGGAAGCAUUGUAAAGUGAAGGUAGGUGGAGGAAGCUGCUAGCCAACAGGCUAGGGAGGACAACUUCCCAGUAAUCCUGAACAAGGGCAACAAUGUAGCUGUUGGGAUUAGGAGGAAACAGGCAAAUCUUGAGGCCAUGGUUGGAGAGGGGAUUACAACAUGUAGGGAUCUUGAAACUCCAGGAGAAGAAUCAGAAGCCAGAGACAAUGACAAAGGUCAGGACUGAUUGAUCUCAGUGGCCAGCGAGGGAGGUUUAGAGGAAAAGAAGUUUUUUGCCUUAUAGAGUGAGGUUGGAAUGAGAGAUCAGGCUUCCCUAUUCAAAAGAGAAGCAGAGCUUCAGGAUUAAAUAGCUGGAGAGAUUCGAUCUGCAGCAAGGCAAUGUGGACUGUGGAAAGGCACAGAAAUAAAUGAAGGUCAUAGAACACAAGAAUUAUGGGGAGGAGAAAUUAGAAGAGUGGAAGGGAGGGUUGGAGAGGAGGAGAAAGGAGAGGAGAGGAGGCGACUGACUUUGCACUUAACAGAAACUCACUUCAACUGGUUUAAACCAAAAAGGGGAAUUUAUUACAAGGUCACAGGGAUAUUUGAUGGAAUGCAAAAGAGCAGCCAAGAUCUAAAGAAGAAUGGAACCAGGAACUGGAGAGCUGUCCAGAACCGGCAAUUACUCUUUUCUCUUUCCUUCUCCAGGGCCACCUGCACUCUCUUCUGUGCUUCUCCCUCUGCACCUACUUUACUCUUGGCUUUCUCCACUAUGCAGAUAGAGGGUCACACCUCGGAAGGCAUAGAGGAGCCAGCAGGGUUACAUCUUUCUAUUCAAAAGACCAGCAGAAACUAGUGUCCCUGAAUCCAAUUCCGAAUGUCCAGCGAAGAAUGUAUGAUUGGCCUCUUAUCUAAGUUCCGAGUUCUCCUGGAAUCCAUCAGCCAUGGGUUGGGGGAUGGGGGUAGGGGUUGAGGGACAUGGUAUAAAUAUGGCUCCUGAGCUCCACUCCCGCGAGAGGAGGGCAGCUUUGAAAAGUAGAUUCCACAGAAGAUAUGGACCAAACCAAAUCAGGACUGAAGGUAUUGCAGCUGUUUUGCUCUAGAGAAGAGAAGGCUCUAGCAACCAUGAGAACAGUCUUCUGGUAGCUGAAGGGGUGCCUGCAAAUAUGUGAAUGAUCCUGUAGGGGAUAAGGUGGCUGAUUGAGCAGAGGAAGGAGAGGCAUUCCGCCAGGGAGUGCUGCCAGUUCUGCAGUGGGCUGUUCUGGGAGCAGGAGCCUCCCCAAGGGGCAAGGGGGAGGCAGAGCUAUGAUUUCCUUAAGCAGCAGGUGUUCUAGUGUCCCAGCUCUGAGGGAAGUCGCAUAAAUGACUCACAGGCUUCUUCCAGUGUUAAGGUUUUGUGAUAUUUCUUCCUAAUCCUUCCACUCCCACCCCACCUCCUCCUGUCUUCUCUCUCUUUUAUUUUAUCCAGUUACCACCUAAAUCAGGGGCUGUUAGUUGGAGAGGACAUCAUGAAGCCCAGGAGUAUCCUAAAAUUAGAUGCAAAAUUGUAGGGGAGGGGGUUAGGACUCAUGUAGAUUUAUCAGAGAGAGGGUUCAGUCAAGGGGACCAUGACCAAGAAGAGGGUGGGAAGCAAUGCCUGAAAGAGAAGUGCUUGGAAAGGCAGCUUACAAUACCAGUGAAAUACAGAAACAGAGAUGGAGUCGGAAAUACAACUGGAAAAUGGAGAAAUCAAAUGUAUUUUCUAAUACUGGGUCUACACAGCUGCUAUGAUUAAACUUCAAGUUAAAUUUUGAGCUUCCUGGCAGCUGGAGAAACCCAGUUUAUAUAUCGAUGGGAAGCAGCAGUCCAUCAAGAGCAAUGAAGCUAUUUCUAACCCUGACUUCUAAAAGAAA